GGACUCCCACUCCCUUCUGUACAUUGCCUCCUAGCAGCCUAUCUACACAGACCUGAAAAAUAAAAGGCAGUAAAAAACUCUUUGUUUUUGUUCACUCUCAUCUUUCUGCUGCUUUCCUGUCUGACUGAAGCUUUCUCCUGCUUCCAGGCCUCAGAGAAGCCGUGCUGGCCCCAACCAGGUCUUCAGCACUGUGACCCAGUCUUGCUCAGAUUCUGACGUCUUUCUCUUUGGUGUGUGGGAAGGUCUGUGGUUGAGUCAAGGUCAGAGCUUCUUUGCCUUGUUUCUAGGCCAUUCGGAGAAACUACACCUUAAGACUCCUAGAGGCUAUGUAGGCCAAGCCGACUCCCUGUUCCACCUAAGAACUUACUGGAGACAGUCAUCGAGCCUUCUGAGUCCUCCUUUCUCCAAGUCCUUCAGCGGAACCUCAAUGGAUACCACAUGGUUUCUACAUUUGCAGCCACCCUCCUCAGAGCACUUUGUCAAUAUCCUUCCUGAACUGUGACUCCUGCUUUGACACAUUAUUCUAACUCUUUUCUUCUCUUGUUAUGCUAACUUCGUCUUAUAUUGAUAUCUAACUUUUCGUGGUUCUAUGCCUUGUCUGCCUUACUAAGUUCUGUCCUUUAUUUAUGGUGACGGCAUUUUGUACAGUGUAACUCCAAAGUAAGAAAGUCUUUAUUCCCCGGUCAAAUAAAGGUAUAUCCAAAUGAAUGAUGUGUUUCAGGAGUUAUGCACUUAUUCCAGUGAUGCCUUAAUCACCCACCUUACCCUUUAGAAAUUGUAUUCACCCUGGGAGAGAGGGAAGGAGAAACAUUUGGGACAAGAUGCAGAGGAGACUUCCAAGUUCAGGGUUGACUUCAUGUAUGCAGCCUGUAGCAUCACAUGGGGCCCCUUUCGCAGAAGGGCCCUGCACUAGGUUUAAGGCUUGGCUGUCAUGGUUUGAAAUUCUUGAUAAUGUUAUCUUCGAGCCUGUGUUUUGUAAGUAAAGUCUGAUGGCACAAUGGAAC
rnacentral:lncRNA from 10 species